rnacentral:rRNA from 1 species
AUUGAACGCUGGCGGCAUGCCUUACACAUGCAAGUCGAACGGUAACAGGUCUUCGGAUGCCGACGAGUGGCGAACGGGUGAGUAAUACAUCGGAACGUGCCUAGUAGUGGGGGAUAACUACUCGAAAGAGUGGCUAAUACCGCAUGAGAUCUACGGAUGAAAGCAGGGGAUCGCAAGACCUUGUGCUACUAGAGCGGCCGAUGGCAGAUUAGGUAGUUGGUGGGAUAAAAGCUUACCAAGCCGCCGAUCUGGAGCUGGUCUGAGAGGAGGAUCAGCCACCCUGGGACUGAGACACGGCCCAGACUCCUACGGGAGGUAGCAGUGGGGAAUUUUGGACAAUGGGCGCAAGCCUGAUCCAGCAAUGCCGCGUGCAGGAUGAAGGCCUUCGGGUUGUAAACUGCUUUUGUACGGAACGAAAAGCCCCGGGUUAAUACCCUGGGGUCAUGACGGUACCGUAAGAAUAAGCACCGGCUAACUACGUGCCAGCAGCCGCCGUAA